CAUAAGUCGAAAGCAAGAUUGUAAGAGUCGUAAGCCAAGAGCUAGACUGUGAGAGUCGUAAGCCGAGAUAAGCUUGGUGCUACCUCUUUGUUUUCUUUGCUUUUAUUAUUUGCUUAUGAAGAAUUGUGAUUGAGAGAAGUAUUGUUGAAUUGAUAGUCGUGGAAUGAAUUAUAUAUUGAAUUAAGAUGGAAGUAGUAAUCCUUGGUAUUUUGUAGUUUGAUAAUUGAUUUUAGAUAGCCAGAGUACAGUCAAUUGUGACACUAACAGACCCAAUUCAUAUAACCAAUCUUUCCCAGUGUUUGAACUUACGUCUAUUAGUUCAAUAGCUUUGAUAUACUGAAGCUUGAAUGCAACAUGAAUAACAUUUUGGCAUCGUUGCCGGGGAAAUGAUAACAAUAUGAAAUGUUAAAAAUUGAUUGUAUG
rnacentral:lncRNA from 1 species